CUGAUUUUAUUAUCAGUUCUAUUAUUGAACGAUUUUAUUGUUGAAUUGUUAUUAUCAAAGCUCAUUAUCGAAGAGAAAGAUUGUAUACCUGUUGCCUACCUUGCCGCUUGGUAAUGGACAUUUUCUCUAAGAUCAAAACCCGGGAGUAUGAUAAGAACAAGGAUGCUGCUGCUGCUGCUGCUGCUGCUGUUGAUGAUGAUAUCCUAAUGCUGCUGCUGAUGUUGGCAGUGAUGGCGAAGAUCACCACGCCAGCACUGGGAGAGAGGCUGCAUCGAUCCAUUAAAUAAAUAUGACAUGCUGCCCUCUGCAGGUAUUCAGUCUAAACCAGGUAGUAUCAAAUUCAUACAAACGGAUAAAGCAUUCUCAAACACACAAACUAAUGCACAAAUGCAAAUGGAAUACUGAAGCCAGUUAAAGAAAGAAAACUUUUCUAUUCCAUAGGUCUCUCUUUUUUUUUUUUUUUUUUUUUUUUUUGGUCUUUUUAGGGCUGCUCCCAUGGCAUAUGGAGGUUCCCAGUCUAGGGGGGACAUCGGAGCUAUAGCUGCUGGCCUAGCCAUAGCAACGCAGGAUCUGAGCUGCGCCCGUGACCUACACCACAGCUCGGGGCAACACUGGAUAUCCUUAACCCAUUGAGCAAGGCCAGGGAUCGAACCCUCGUCCUCAUGGAUGCUAGUGGGGUUCAUUAACCGCUAGGCCAUCAUGGGAACUUCUUAACUCAUUUAUUUUAAAUUUCUCUUCUGAAUUUUGGAGGAUGUGUAUUUGAGGCCAAUGUCAGAAGCAGAGAAGACCAGCUGGGAGUUUGGUUUGUGACUAGUUCUCUGUUGACACUUGAAAAAGCUAACUGCUCUUUGGCUUGACUAAGACCUCUUGUUUCCUGAUAAUAGGUAUUUAAUGAAUAGUAAAUAAAAGCAGGUUUGAAAAUCUCAAAUCCGUUUUCAUUUCAGAAAGUUUAGAUUUUACACCACAUCCAACCAGCAUUUCUAGUUACUAAACUAACAGGCUUUGGUCCACAUGGCUCCUUCUUUUUUCUUUUCCUUCUGCCUUACCCCAGUCAGUACUCUUGCUAUUUUGGUGUCUAAGUUGAACACUUUUCUCAAUUUCUUCUUUGCUCUUCCUUGUUGGGGAUAUGAACCAAAAGAGAACUGUUAGGCAAAGAGUUUUUAGAACUGAUUUCUUGUACCCACUUUCCACCCUUAAGUUUAGUUUGUUAGUUUGGCCAGAUCACCAAACUAUUCUUAAUUUUAUUCCUUCUCUAUAAAAGGAAGGGCUGACUCAGUGGGACUGAGCACCCACUAGUCCUGACUUCCUGGGAUUUGCCAUAUGGGCCAGUGAUUGCGUAGAGCAGUCCUAAGCUCUCUCUAGUUUUCUGCUGGGUGACUGUGGGCCAGUUACACAGCGUGUCUGAGUCUCCGUUUCCCAUCUCAGAAUAAGUACAAUAGCAUCUACCUCAUAGGAGUUUUCGGAGGAUUUUAAAAUACACUACAGGAUAAAGCACUUUAUAAGUGCCGUCUUGUUUCAUUCCCAUGACUACCUUGUAAAGAGGAGACUACUCUUACCCCCAUCUCACAGAAUGAGGAAAUGAACUUGGGGCGGGGGGGUUAAAUCAAUGAAUCCAAGUUACAGGGCUGGUGGGUGUGGACCUAGAUUCAAGCCCAGGCCCAGGCCAUGCUUUUGAUCCCUGUGUCAUUCUGUCAGAUAUCCGGUGUCCAGCUUCCCUUCACAUUUUAAUAGGAUGAGUUUCACUUCACUCUUUUUUUUUUUUUUUGCCAUUUCUAGGGCCUCUCCCGCGGCACAUGGAGGUUCCCAGGCUAGGGGUCAAAUCGGAGCUGUAGCCACAGGCCUACGCCAGAGCCACAGCAACACAGGAUCUGAGCCGCGUCUGCAACCUACACCACAGCUCACGGCAAUGCCAGAUCCUUAACCCACUGAGCAAGGCCAGGGAUCGAACCCGCAACCUCGUGGUUCCUAGUCGUUAACCACUGAGCCAUGACGGGAACUCCUCACUUCACUCUUUAAGGCAGCCACCUCCCCCGUCAUUCCUAUGUCUUGCAGACUCUGGUAUUACCUCCAACUACUAGAGGCACAGAUGGCAAGAAAGUCAGUGUGUCUGCCACCUAUACACUCACAGUGCUUGGGAGACAUGGAGGAAACUACAGAAAAAAUUCACUCAACCCUGUGACUCUCAGAGUUGACUUAUAUAGUCAAAAAGAAGGGGAUCCUUGUUAGUGGCUGGAGUUAAAAUCCCAAAGCACAGUCAGCCAAAACCUCCUCCAGAUGCGAGUGUGUGGUCACUGGUCAUGCAUUUCUGUUUGCUGAAUUCCAUACAGCCAAGGCAACUGCCUGGCCUCGCUGAAGAUCCACAGGGGAAAAAAGUUAUGUGCGCUAGUACGAAAAAACAUGCAAGCAGAGUUCUCCCUCGCUGUCAGGAAUGUUUGAUACGGCCAUGUUUAUUCCGUGGCCGCCAUCCAUGGUAAACGUGCCAUCAGUUCUCAUGCAGGGAAAGCUGGCCCAGAGCUUCCUUACUGGCUGCCCAUUUUCUUAAAGUGACGUAGCGUCAUAGAGGAUACUCUAUUGCAAUCAAAAUGAUUUUUUGGAAUUAUAAAAGCAUGUGCAUUUUAGUGAAAUAACUACUGUUAAGAGUCUUUGGGGCUGUUGGCCUUAAGUCCCAUAUGCUCCUUUUCUUCACCUGUUUCUCACUUCCUCUGGGAAAAGUUUGCGAUGCUGAUAGGCUAACGGAUCAUGUCUUCCUUCAUCUUGGUACACGCGUGUGAUUAGGUCAUUCUUUGCAGGUGUGUGAUUUUACCAAUUCAUUAUUUCCUGGCUAUUCUUAUAAUACCAAUUCAUUAUUGGUAUUACCAUUCUGAUAAUACCAAUUCAUUAUUUCCUGGCUAUUCUUAUCAUAAGAUUACUAGAAUAAGUACCUUCAUUGUGUGUAAAAAAAAGACACAGUUCUGCCUUGAAAUAUCAUUUUUUGUCCAAGGCUCCGCUGGCUCUCCCAUUUCUGAGUUGGAUGGUUUUUAACGUGAAGUAUGUAGAAAGAUUAAAGUAUGGAAGAAUUCAAAUCUAAAAAUUUCCUGGUGGUCUCUUUGCUAAAAACCCUAGCAAAUAAUGACUUUUCCAAGCUUUACGUGUGUGUUAACCCAUCAGUUCCCGUAACCAUCCUAUGGUCAUUAUACCCAUUUUACAAGCAGGAAUAUCAAGACAUGAGAGGUAAAGUAACUUGCCCUUGGUGACACAGCUACUAAAUGCUGAUUCUGGGAUUCAAACCCGAGGGAAUUGGGCCCCGUACCUGCUCUCUUCACUCCUCCCCUUCAACACUGCUUCAACCGUGGGGUGAUAGAAUCCAUUUUAUUGCUUUUAAAGGACAUUUACCUAUUUAUUUAUUUAUUUGUGGUUUUUUUGCUUUUUAGGGCCACACCCACAGCAUUUGGAAGUUCCCGGGCUCAGGGUCCAAUCGGAGCUGCAGCUGCUGGCCUGUGCCACAGCCACAGCAGUGUGGGAUCCAAGCCAUGUCUGUGAUCUACAGCACAGCUCCGGGCAAUGCUAGAUCCUUAACCCACUGUUGGAGGCCUGGGAUCGAACCCACGUCCUCAUGGAUGCUAGUCAGGUUCGUUACUGCUGAGCCACAACGGGGAACUCCUGUGUACUCUUUUAAAUGAGCACAAAGUACAAGUAGACUGUUAUCUUCAGCCAGAGAGAGAAGGAAGAGCUUAUUUAGGUAGGCGUCUAAACACUAAGCAAGAAUUUGUUUCUCAUGCUCUAAUUGAAAGGCCUGGUGAGGGAGGCCCACACGACUUACUCCCCCUGGUGUUCAGAGAGGGAGCCUAUGGGGGACCGUAAUCAGACGAGGGAGAGCAGUCCCGGGAAGGCUUCAUUUCUUUUCUGUUCCUGAACUUGAGAAACGAAAAGCAGCCAGCAUGUGCUGCAGGAGUUUCUUUCCUCAUCUGUUUUUGCUCUCAAGGUUUGCAAGACGGUAGGAGCCAUUCAGCAUCCAGUUGCAACUCUUUAACAGCCAAAGUUAUUGAAAUUUCUAAUUUCCUAAAAUUUCUUCAGUCCCCCACCCCUUUCCCUUCUGCCACAUCCCUGGCCUUCUGCCAGGGAGUCUGGUUUUCCAUAAUUAGCGUGGUGGUUCGGAUAAUCUUCUUUCCCUGUUUUCUGCCCUGGCUGCUGGGCUUUUUUGUUCCCUGAACCUCCAUCACAGUUUUCCUUAUUACUGUCUGCUUGGAGUUUGAUAGCCAGCAUUCCAUGGAUUCCAAGAUCACCUUAAAUUUUCAAGUCAGCUUGAGCUUCAGUUGUUGGUAUUAGAUAAAACGGCAUUGGAACCCUCGUUUAAAGAGUAAUUCAGUCUUGGCUACCUGUGGCUCUCACUUAGGAAGCUUUAAAAAAUACCAUUGUUUGGGCCCCACCUCCAGAAAGUUUGAAUCAUUGAAUCAUUUCUUCUGGGGUGAAGCCCAGGCAUCAGCUUUUUCAUUUUUUUUUUUUUUUAACAUGAGGUCAUGGUUAAGAAACACUAAAUUACUCUUUGGGCUUAAAUUUGAAUACCAAGACCCUGAAAGCCCUUGGCUCAGAAAUAUAUUAAAUUCAUUUAAAUGGACAGUUGUAGUUCCUGUCUGUUUUAAGCUAUCUGUUAAAAUGUGAAAAGGGAUAGAGAUUUUUGCUGUACAGCAUGGUCACCCCCAGUCUGAAGGGAAAGGAUGAAGUUCAUGGCACUUUUGAAGUGACCCCCACCCCCAGGCACCUCUGGCCUCAUCCUUUGCAAGAGGCCAACAGGUUUCGGGGCUGAGAUGUUUCAGCUUAUCUCCAGCCCAGAGACAAACCAGGACAAUCACCUGAGGUCAUUUUCCUGUCAGUGCCUGGUACAUACUGGGUGUUCAAGAAAUCAAAAUUUGUGUGUGGCUUAGUACACAAUGCAGGGGCUGUUGUUACUGUGUGAGUUUGGAGAUGAAUCUGGUUACUCGUCUGUAAAAUAGAUGUAACGAUGCUGACCUUCCAGGAUUGUUUACAAAUUAAAGGGCAUAAUUUAUGCAAAAGUUCCCAAUCUACCUGUUACUGGAGCAUCCCAGUUCAGAGGGGGGAGUUUUUCUGUACCAACUCUCAUCACGGCGAUUUUGGCCGACAUCAUCAAUUUACCUUUCAGAGAUGUCAGUGAGUCCUCUCCCAUCUCCUAUCUUUAAGACACUAAAGACAGACAGCCACCAGGGGCUUUUGUGGUCUGUGUUUGCAGCACACAUGAGAAGACCAGGCAGGUUUCCUGGGCUUACCUCUGUUUAUUUACUGAAACUUGUUCCUGCCAGUGCUGCCACAGCGACCCCCCCCCCAUGCAUGCUUAUUGUCCAUCUCCUGUCUGGUCACCUCUCCUAGUUCUAUGUCCCCCCAGGAGGGUUAGCAUCUGUCAAUUUCCUUUGCUCCCAAGCCCUUCCCCAAGAUGUUUCAGCACCCAGGGGGAACUGAACAGUCUCCUCGAGGACUUGGCUAAGAAAUCUGCUUUUCAAGGGGCGAAAGAAGGAGGAGAGGACUGCAGAGAAAACCAGCAGCUUCUAUGCGGGCAGCCAGAGGGGCAGAACUGGAGAGAGGACAGUGCGAGCUCGGAGAAGGUCACAGCCUGCAAAGGGACAGACGUGGUGGUCAAGGCAUAGACUCAUGAAGUCACUUGUUGCACCUGAGACAUUUGAGAUGCUGUGCUGCAUGUUACUGCUUUGACAUGUCCUAUUUCUCUGACUUUUCUAGACAAAUCCUUUGUAGACAUCUCCUCUGCUCUUCAUUCUUUCCGCAAACUAUGAUGAAGCACCUAUCCCUGGCCAGACACUCUACUAGUGGUGAAGAAGCAGCAAGGACAGCCCUGGCUCAGGGAGUACAGUCUGGUGGGAGGAAGAAGAUAGUUAAACAGGCCUUGAAUAUUGAUCGAUUUAACCAGGGUAAAAAAGUCAUAUUAAAAUCAAAUAAAAGAUGAAAAGGCCAAACUUCAAAUGCCUUUUCUCUCAUGUCCCCUUUUUCCUUCUCACCUAGUGGGCAGGAGUUAAGAGCCUAGAUUUCUAAAUGAGGCUCUCUAUUUAAAUGGUGGGUUCACCACUACCUGUGUGACCUUGGGCUUUACUUCUCUGAAAAUGGAUAUAAUAAAAAUAGAGACUGGGAAUUCCCAUCACGGCGCAGCAGAAACGAAUCCGACUAGGAGCCAUGAAGUUGCGGGUUUGAUCCCUGGCCUCGCUCCGUGGGUCAAGGAUCCGGCGUUGCCGUAGGUCGGUGGCUACAGCUCCAAUUCGACCCCUAGCCUGGGAACCUCCACAUGCUGCGGGUGUG
rnacentral:lncRNA from 1 species